rnacentral:misc_RNA from 1 species
GAAAUGCGAUAAGUAAUGUGAAUUGCAGAAUUCAGUGAAUCAUCGAAUCUUUGAACGCACCUUGCGCUCCUUGGUAUUCCUUGGAGCAUGCCUGUUUGAGUAUCAUGAAAUCUUCAAAGUAAAUCUUUUGUUAACUCAAUUGGUUUCUACUUUGGUAUUGGAGGUCUUUGCAGCUUCACACCUGCUCCUCUUUGUUCAUUAGCUGGAUCUCAGUGUUAUGCUUGGUUCCACUCGGCGUGAUAAGUUAUCUAUCGCUGAGGACACUGUAAAAGGUGGCCAAGAUAAAUGCAGAUGAACCGCUUCUAAUAGUCCAUUGACUUUGACAAUACUUUUAUGAUCUGAUCUCAAAUCAGGUAGGACUACCCGCUGAACUUAAGC